CCGCUAUGAGAGUACACGCAGUGGGCGACGGAUGGAGCUGAGUAUGGGGACCAUCCAGGCUAAUCACACGGGCACAGGAAUCGGAUAUAACAUCAUCCGGGUACCCAUGGCCAGCUGUGACUUCUCCAUCCGCACCUACACCUAUGCAGACACCCCUGAUGAUUUCCAGUUGCACAACUUCAGCCUCCCAGAGGAAGAUACCAAGCUCAAGAUACCCCUGAUUCACCGAGCCCUGCAGUUGGCCCAGCGUCCCGUUUCACUCCUUGCCAGCCCCUGGACAUCACCCACUUGGCUAAAGACCAAUGGAGCGGUGAAUGGGAAGGGGUCACUCAAGGGACAGCCCGGAGACAUCUACCACCAGACCUGGGCCAGAUACUUUGUGAAGUUCCUGGAUGCCUAUGCUGAGCACAAGUUACAGUUCUGGGCAGUGACAGCUGAAAAUGAGCCUUCUGCUGGGCUGUUGAGUGGAUACCCCUUCCAGUGCCUGGGCUUCACCCCUGAACAUCAGCGAGACUUCAUUGCCCGUGACCUAGGUCCUACCCUCGCCAACAGUACUCACCACAAUGUCCGCCUACUCAUGCUGGAUGACCAACGCUUGCUGCUGCCCCACUGGGCAAAGGUGGUACUGACAGACCCAGAAGCAGCUAAAUAUGUUCAUGGCAUUGCUGUACAUUGGUACCUGGACUUUCUGGCUCC
rnacentral:sRNA from 1 species